GGUGGAUGAGAGAAAGGGGAGGCAAGACGAGAGACCCGAGGCGGGGCCGGGUGUUCUGGGAAUCCAUCCUACCUCAAAAAACAUCCUACCCAAUGUUUCUGCACACACGCGGCGCAUGCGCACAACACCAAAGCCGAAUUAACUUCUUUUUCUCUGACCCAUCCGCUCCGAGUGUCAGGUGAACUGAACUUCAGGUUAAGAAGUUAUGACCUGCAGUCUAUCUGGGUCAGAUAUAAACCAAGUUUAGGUGGAGUUUAUUUUCGUUAUGCUGGCUUUUUCAUACUGGGUACUAGCUAGCAUGACGGAGUUUCUAUACAGCUGGGUGGAUGCUAUGAUGUUACUGAUGCUGAACUUUAUUUUAUUCAUAAGGUUAGUUAGUUAGUUGCCAACUGUCCUCUAAAAAACGGAAUCGUCCCGCAUUUAGAGAAAAUAUUACGCGUUUCAUAUUAAGGUGAAAAGGAAUGUCAGGAAGCUCCCCUGGCUUCUGCUCUGCAGCUGCUGAGUGAGCCCUCAUCUGGGACUCUCCUCAGCUCUUUCUGGGAUAGUGGCGCGGCUGCCCCUCUGUUGGGCUUCAUUGGUCUCUUGUGUUCUGAGGGGCCUCUGGAUGUCUGGAGUUUUGAUCUCCUCCAUACCUGCUUCAAGCCCUGGAGGACGGGGCAGUGGCCCCCCCACACCCUCUAGCAGAUCAUUACAUGAAGGAACCUUUUAAAUACAAGCGCGCUCAUGCUCACAGGUGUACACACAGGUGCUCACACACACAAAUUACACCCUUUUUUAGCCCCUCCCUCUCCUGUUUCUACUUCAGUCAUGAAACUGAUCAAUGAUCAGCUGAUUGUCUCUCUUGUUUGUUUAUCGCCCACUUUGCGCCAGAAAGUAGAAACCAGCGGAUGUCGCGUUAAACAACAGCAGCGCGUUUAAGCUUGAUCAGCUGUUGUUAGAAUUUAUUUAAUAUUAGUUUCUAGUAUCAGCUGAUGUUUGCUGGAGCCACAGCUGUAAAGCUGCUGGUCAUGAUGUCGGUUUGGAUACGUGGUGAGAGGGAAACAAGAAGAUGAAACCAGGAGAUGUCCUUACUGAAUCAUCAGAGCUGAACAGAAGGCAGAAUUUCUGAGUACAAUCAAAGGACCACGGCUGCAGUUUUCAUGUUGGAUGUAAAAAGCGCACGUGACGCUGUGACGUAGGCUAGAAUCAUGGCGGCGGUCAACGACGGUCCAGGCGUGGGAUUUCUCUCGUGGAAAUAUGCACAUUAUUUUUUCCUUUCUAUUGAGCCGGCAAAAGCUGACGACUGUCCUUAGGCCAUUCAGGUUUGUGACUGAGCUUCUUGGAGGUGAGACAUAUGUCUCAUGUUCAGUGGUUUUACCUGCUUACUGCCACCUGCAUCACACCAUGGAGGUCUCCAAUGAUGACCCAGACUACAUGGUGAAAUUUAAGACUGCCUUUACAAAGAACCUAUUCCAACAUGUAGCUACACUCAACCAUCAGUGGCUCAAGGGGGAGAGGGAGAAGAGGUUUGGAUCAGCCUUGACGUUACUGCAGGAACAGUGUAAAGAUGCCACCACAAAGGAGCCAGCAAAGACAAAGAGCCUCCUCCUCUCUUCAAUGUCUCCAGACUCUGAUUCAGAUGAUUCAGAUGAGGAAGCCCUGUGUAACAGGGCCCUGAGCAGAAUCCACCAUCAGCGAUAAAGACUGCCCACUGCAGUCUAAUACAAUUAUCUAAUACAGUCUAACACAAUUAUCAUUGUUGUUUGUUGAAUCCUAAUGGCAACUGUAGUGUGUAAUCAGGUAUAAACACUUUAUUUACAAGACAAAACAUCUGUUACAGGUCAUAACAGAGUUUAAAUGUGAAGCUGGUCAAAUAACCUUUCAUGUUUCUGCCUUAGUUUUUUAAGAAGAAAAACUGCAAUUUAUGUUGAAAAUGUUAUUAUUAUUAUAAGAGACACUACCAUUUUAAAAAUGUACUUAAAUUAGCAUUUUAUUUUUUUAAAUUGAGUCCCACCCCUACUAAUUAAUUAAUGAAAAGUGUUAUUAAUUAAACAAAAUUUAAAAUAAACACAUUAUUAAAUGAUUUAAAUAAAACAAAUAUGCAUCUAAUUAAUUAUUGAACUAUUUAUUUAAUUAAUUAAUUACAAUUUUAAUUAAGCAGUGAAACAUUUAAAUUAUUUAAUAACAUAUAUAAUUAAUAAAUUUUGUCCCUCAUGGCCUUCCAUAAAAGACAAGCCCCAGCUAGACUAAUUUAAAAUAACAAAGAACAAAAUGUUUCUCACCACCUUCAGCUCAACCUCUUGAAGAUGAAAGCCUGAAGUUCUCACAAUUUUUUCCUGACCAUCGAAAUAAAUCAGGAUCUGUAAUCUGAUAUGUAAACAUAUAAAUGUCUGAGUAUUGACUAGAAUGUAACAAAACAAAACAAAAAACACCCACCAACGUCACACCACCCAAAGAAGUUCAAUAUUUGAGAACACUAAUACAAAAAUUCACAUUGUAAAAAAACAACUAGUGACAGUUUCUGAAUGGUAUCUAAAUAUAUUUCACAAUAAUGCAAAAGCAUGU
ensembl:lncRNA